AUUGAACGCUGGCGGCAUGCCUUACACAUGCAAGUCGAACGGCAGCACGGGGGCAACCCUGGUGGCGAGUGGCGAACGGGUGAGUAAUACAUCGGAACGUGCCCCGUAGCGGGGGACAACCAGUCGAAAGACUGGCUAAUACCGCAUACGCUCCACGGAGGAAAGCAGGGGAUCGCAAGACCUUGCACUAUGGGAGCGGCCGAUGCCCGAUUAGCUAGUUGGUGAGGUAAAGGCUCACCAAGGCAACGAUCGGUAGCUGGUCUGAGAGGACGACCAGCCACACUGGGACUGAGACACGGUCCAGACUCCUACGGGAGCAGCAGUGAGGAAUCUUGCG
rnacentral:rRNA from 1 species